rnacentral:lncRNA from 1 species
CUCCUAUUUAUACUAAACCUAAAAACUAGGUAAAAAUCGUGCAAAAGUCGAUCAUAAUCCCCAAAAUAUGGAAAAGAUAAAAAAACUAACAAAAGAUGAAAAAUUGCCAAAAUUAGAAAAUUCGCCAAAUAUUUUGAACCAUGCGGCCGCAUGCUGUAUUUUCAUGCGGUCGCAUGGUGUUUUAGCUGUGCGGUCACACAUGCUUGUUUUCAGCCUCCGAUUUCGUCGCUUGAUAACAAAUUGAUCCAAGUUGAUUCGGCCUUCGGCUCGAACAUGAAAGUUGCUACAUUUUGAGUCCCGAACAUGGUUCCAUCAAUGGUUUCUUGAACGAGCAAUCUCAUCGCUUGUUUCACUUGCUUUGCCCUUGAUCGCGUUAUUGGCCCGCCAUCAACUAUCAAUGGAUCUCGUCUCGCACUCACCUUCGUCGGGCUCGACUCUUGGAUCAUAUCAUCCCCUCCCCCUUCAAAAGGAUUCAUCCUUGAAUCUAAACCUGCAUCAAACAGAGAAAGAUCAAAUACAUUAAAAGUAGCCGAAACAUUAUACUCACCUGGAAGGUCCAACUUGUAAGCAUUGUCGUUUAUCUUUUCAAUCACUUGAAAUGAACCAUCACCCCUCGGUUGCAACUUGGAUUUCCUUUGCUUCGAAAACCGCUCCUUCCUAAGGUGCACCCAAACCCAAUCUCCUGGCUCGAAUGUCACACGCUUCCUACCGUUGUUUGCUUGCGACGCAACCAACUUACUUUUGUUUUCAAUUUGCGCUUUUACCUUUUCAUGGAGUGACUUAACCAAUUCCGCCUUCUUUUUGCUAUCUAAACUACC